GACCAUCACUCUACCGCCUUGGGCACAUCUUGUCUGAUGUCAGAAGCCAAGCGAGGCCAGGCCUGGUUAGGCCGUGGAUGGGGGACCACCAGCGACUUUGGAGGAGGGUUC
rnacentral:rRNA from 1 species